rnacentral:tRNA from 1 species
GGGAUUAUAGUUAAUAAUAACAUUUGUUUUGCAUUCAAAAAGUAUUGAAAAAUCAAUUUCUCUCA